UCACGAACACUAUGGCGUUCGCCUAUGGGCAAGAGGUGAGGUAAAGCGCAGUCUGUUUAUUAACGUGUCUAUGGUUCUUCCACAAACAAUACAACUCGGCGUUAUAAUUUUAAUUUAUUUGAUUGAUAAUUAAUAAUUACGGAUGCUCCACUAGCGAUAUUUAAGUCAUUAAGUUUAUUAAGUUGAUAAUGUAUUUAUUGUUCACAGUUUUACACUAGUGUAUCACUUGUUUUAUCAAUCGAGCGUAGGUCUUUAUAACGCCAUUUAGUAGGGAUCUAGAUCGUUAAGUGACGCACAACUGGGGUCAAUGACCAGGCAUUUGUCUUCCCAACAGUUACAUUGCCGAGUUGCAAUACGGCACUUCUAGAUUACUCAAUGGUUGUUCCCCAGAAUUUAAAAUGGCUGUUACUUAGAGACUAUUCAUCGGAUAUAAAUGUGUGAUACGUUAAAAUGUUCC